AAUGUUGUUGACUUGACCACCGACCUUGAAAGAAAGAAACCGUAAAUAAGAAGCAUCUGUAUCCUCUCUCAGAGAUCAAACAAUCGUUGAUUCAAAAAAACCCUAAAUAACAACCAACAACAAUGCCCUCUCGAUUUUCCCUCCCAAUUCAAAUCCUCCCCUACCCAUCUUUCUCCCAAACCCAACCCUAAUUUUGCAAUUCAAACCCUAAACCACGAUGCUGAUCGCUGAUUCCGACUUGCCUCCUCCGCCGCUAACCCCCAGCCCAAUCGAAACCCUAGACGAGUCGAUUGGAGUUCAAUCACUGGCUCUUUCCUCCCCGAAUCACGCGGACGAGGAGGUCUCACUCGAAACCCUAACCGUGCCUUCUCUUGACGUUCCCGUCGACUACGACGAGCCGUUCUCUGACAUUGGUUGUUUGUCGGAUAAUUACAAACGGUGGACUCCUAAUGUCUCGCCUGGGUACGAUACUGACGACGAGUCUACGAGUUACCAACCUUUGCUUAGUUUCAUUCAAGAUCCUCCCACGAUGAUCGACGACGAGCCCACUGGUGUUGGUGUUGGGCUUUGGAAUCUAGGCAACAGUUGUUUCGUUAACUCGGUCUUGCAGUGUUUGACUCAUACUCUCCCUCUUAUCGAGAGUCUUUGCUCUUACGAACCUCCUGAGCCUUGUAACUGUGGGAAUGAGUGGUUUUGUGUUAGAAGUGCUUUUAAAGGUCACUUAGAGGCUGCGUUGACGACUUCACGAUCUUCAAUUGCUCCCUACUCCUUCCUUAACAAUCUCAACUAUUUUUCGGCUGACUUCAGGCGUUACCAGCAAGAAGACGCUCAUGAGUUUCUACAAGCGUUUUUGGAUAAGUUGGAGAGAUGUUGUUUGGAGGACCCGAGUAGUGACUCUCUCUCUUCUCAAGAUGUUAACUUGGUUCAGCGUAUCUUUGGUGGUCGUCUCGUCAGUCAGCUUCGUUGCUGCGACUGCAACUCUGUUUCUGAGACUUUUGAAAACUCUCUUGGGUUGAGUUUGGAAAUCGAAGAUGUGGAUAACCUUCAGAGCGCGCUGGAUUCGUUCACCCGUGUGGAGAAGCUUGACGAGCCGAUGACUUGUGAUAACUGUAAAGAAAAAGUUUCAAAGGAGAAGCAGCUCUUGCUCUAUAAGCUGCCACAGGUUGUCACAUUUCAUCUGAAGAGAUUCAAGAAUAAUGGGUUUUUUAUGGAGAAGAUUUUCAAUCAUGUCAAGUUUCCGUUGGAGAUAGACUUGCAGCCAUAUAUGGUCAGAAGCCAGAAUAACGAAGUUACUGCAAAAUAUCGUCUUUAUGCUUUUGUGGAGCAUUUUGGGUCAUUAGCUUACGGUCAUUACUCUUCCUAUGUGAGGUCUGCCCCAAAGAUAUGGCAUCAAUUUGACGACAAGCAGGUCACUAGAAUCGAUGAAGAUAGAGUGUUAUCACAAGACGCAUAUAUUCUCUUCUAUGCAAGAGAAGGGAUCCCCUUGUUUUCCACCACUUUUCAAGAGGUGCAUCCAUUGGUUGAGGCUAGCUUGCAAAAUCCUUCGCCCAACUCUGUCCUUGAUCCUACCAGCGGGGAGUGUUCAUCUGAAAUCAGCUAUGAGAAUGCAUAUAAAUCCAACAAACUACUCUGUGAAAACUCAGCGGGAGUAAUCCAACAUGUCAAGCCAGAAGAAAGAUAUGUUUCCCUCUCCAACGAGUUUGACGAAGAUGUGAUGUUACAAUCAACAGAGUCAUGUGGCGAAGAUGAUGAUAAUUCUAACGAUUCAUGCACUGAAAAAGAAGUAGAUUCUCGCUUAGACAUUGAAAGAGCUGCCACUGGUGAUGACUCUGUUCCUUAUCCCAUGGUUCAAGAUCAAGACUCGUCUCAGAGACAACAGGAUGGAACUUUCCUAAUUCAACUCGAGAAAUUGGAAGCCACAAAGAAUCAAGAAGAAGAGGAAGAACCUUGCAAGCAGCCAUUACUAAUAAGCCACGUUGGAGAGUCUAAGGAAAACGAAAUUGUUCAUAGAAGAGGCCCCGUGAAGAAACCUUCACCUCGUGAAAGAGUGUUGGACCAAGGCAUAUCUACAACUGGUUCUCCACCUAAAAAACUUAAAAAAGCAUGAAAAAGUCCAGCAUCUGGGACACAGAGAGCAAAAGAGCUCUGGAAAUGGGGAAUUCACAUGUGAAGAUACUGAAGAACAAAAAAACUAUUCAUAUUAAACAACCACCACAAGAAUCAGAUCAGUUGCUCCAAGCUGGGCAUACCCCUACUGUUAUAAUUCAGUUCUUCCCGGAGCUGGAAUCUAGCGUCGACGAUAACUGUGUUGGAGAUGGACGUGAUGGUGUUGGGUUGGGCUUUCACAGGUUUGUCGUAAAGUUUUGUCAUUCGGAUGGAAUGACCGGAUCAUAGGGGGUAAAGUCGCUGCUGUGGUGGAGCCAUUGAAGAAUUGCCGAUGUUGUUGACCACAUUCAAGGAAUUCUCAGUAUAGAGAGAUAAGGAGGAUUUCCAGUUUCUUUGCUCUUGAUAGAUAUGGGAAUGGUAGUGCAUUUAGGUCGCUUGGCUAGAUGACAAGUGGAAAGCUUGAUUUUGACAUACCGUCAAUGAUGCAAGCACAGGAUUCUCAGGCCAGGUGGAAACCCUCUAAAAAGAGUUGAUCUAGAAACACACUGCUGGUGUUUGUUAGAGGGUGAGGAUCUCUGUAAGAUUUUGUAGGUAUGGUUCACAUUGUUUAUUGAUUCACUGAAAUGUCCUAUUUCAUCAUUGUUUCUCCACUGCAGUGUAGAUGACUUCCAACAGUUCAAUACUAUAUUCUCAUAUGGUAACUAGCCAAGUGGCUCUAUAGCCAUGUAUUAAAAAACGCCUUCUAGCUAAGAUUGUACCGGUUUCUCAGAUGGGAGUAUUACAUGGGGUCGUCAUUCCUCAUCCCUUCUUUCACAUUAAGUGGUUCCAAACGAACAGAAACACAAAACUUCUCUUCCCUCCCGGAAGAUCCUUGCAUCUGAUCCUCUCCAUCAGCCAUUUUCAUCCCUCAGCCCCCUUCCAUCAUCCUAGCACAAGAGAAACCAAGAAUAAAACAACAUCAAUGUCAUAUAUAUAAAGAAAGAGAAAGAAUUAUGAGUUAUAAGACAGCUCAGUCAUUCAUUGUAGAUUAUUUUCUUUUACCGGUGAGCAAGAAGAUGGGAAUCUUAUAUUUGGUAUUUUAACUGCUGUAGAAAUAUUUUAUUUCAUCAAUCAAUCGUAGUUGAACAUAUUAGCUUAAGAACUUUUGGUUUAUUCCUUAUAUUUCUCUGAAAUUCAGUGUGGAAAAAUGUCUACUUAGGUCAUUUUCACCUUUUCAGAUUAUUCAUUAUUUGUAUUAUAUUGUUGAAUAAUGUCAUUAUAUAACACGAUAAUCUUUUGUGUUAUUUUCCUGAAUAGAUGAACUUUAUACU